CGCGCCUCCCACAUGAGCUCUCACACGUAGGCGGGCGCAGGAGCAACACCCCCACAGAACGAACCCCGCCUGGGAGACGAGGGCGGGGGCCGGGGCUGCGGUGCUGUGCCCGAGCACGUACCGGGGCGGGGCCUGCAGCGGGGCAGGCGGGGUUUGGGGAAGUUUCUCCCUGCGGCUUGUGUUUCGCAUCCUUACCGUGUAGUACCAGCGGCACCAGGGAUAGAAGCGGGUGGCCGGUCCCUUCCGCUUGUUAUUUUCCCCGCUGAGGGGUCUGUCUGAUCAGUGCUGCCCUCAGGCACCUGUCUUUCCUCUCCGUCCCGGAUCAUGGAGCCGAGAAAAGGGAAUAAAAGAAAUUAAAUAGUACAAGGAGAUCGGGUGUCUGGGCAGCUUCUUGGAUAAAACCGUCCACUACAGAAAUACUUGUACUGUCCACAACUUUGAAGAUAAUAAUUGUUAAAGAUAUGGCAACUAAAUUUAUAAGACAAAUCCAUAAGAAGCUUGAGCCUGGAUAAAACAUCUGAAGCAUAAUAUACUUAAGCAGUGAAGACUGGGAGAUGAAAAAUUGGAGCAAGAGCCAGAAUUCUGGAAGAGAAAUAAGCCUCAAUAAAACAGACAGAGAUCACAAGUAGGCAGAGAGGCAGGCAGAGAGAGAGGAAGAAGC